rnacentral:lncRNA from 1 species
UCCCCUCCCCGCCCCACCGCGUCCCAGGGAACCCCGGCAGGGCACCCAGUGAGGGGGGCCCGGGCGUCCGCCCAUUCCUCACUGCUGUCCCCGCCUGUGCCCGAAACCCCCGUUCACGUUCACCGAGAAAACAGACAUAAACCCAGCCAGGCACAUCCACUAGAAUGGCUGUGAUUUCAGAAAAGCGGACGUAAGUGCUGCCGAGGAGAUGGAGGCGUUGGACCCCCUCGCGCAUUGUCGGGGCGGGUGCAGCCGCGGUGCAAAAGGACCUUCCUCAGAAAGUUGAGCACGAAGUUCCCACAGGCCCGGAAGUUCCCCUCCCGGGCGCUCCCCAGAGAGCUGAAGACUGGGCGCGUGCCGGCGGCAAAUGUUCACAGCAAAGGGCGGCCCAGUGCGCAGCUGGAACAUCAGCCCCAGGCGGUCGCUGCGACAGGGACGAGCCUGGGAAACGUGAAAAUGUCCAGAACAGGGAAUCCACAGAUAAAGAAAAGACAUCGUGGUUGCCAGAGCUCGCGGGAGGGGGCAACAGGGACCGACUGCUUAACGUGUAUGGUUCCCCUUCAGGGUGAGGACGUGUUCUGGGACGAGGUCGAGGUCAGGGUUGCAGGACAAGAUGAAAGCGCUAAAUGCCACUGAAUUGUUUGCUUUAACGUCAUUAAUUUUGUUAUGUGAAUUUCAUCUCAAUAGAAUAAAUAGGUCAAGCUGGCUGCAGGGCCCACCCCACCGCGGCCUGGAGCAGGGUCUUCUGGGGUGUACCACCUCUGCCCUCACCCAGGCUCCACCACGACCAGCUUCGUCCACCCCCCAGGAGACCAUGAAGGCCCACGUCUGAAAUCCUCACUAAGCCCACCCUCCCAUCUCCCUGAACUACGGUGGAUUUGUUCGUGAUCAGCCCCACACCUGUUAGAAUGGAAGCUGCAGGCAGCAGGAACCAGUGUGGCCAAGUCGGAGGGCAGCACAAGCCGGUCCUCCUCGUGGACAGCAGAGGAUAAAACCGAGAAUAAGGAACUUUACAUUGUCAAUGAUCAAACACCUAGUGCACCCAUGGCCGUGCGUCCGCAGGACAAAGCAGCCUUUGGAGCCCUGGAACUUAAGAUGUCCAGAGAUCAGCAGCUCUCGGCUCAGGCCCAGGCAGCUGGACAGCACCCAGCGCCUCCUCCAGGUCCUCCUGGGUCCCCUCCUUUCUUUCACUUUCAGCCCGGGAAUCUCUGUGAAGUCCUAGCUGAUAACUAAGGGGUUAAUGAAUAAUCACAGUGAUGAGCUCUGGAGGAGCCAUGGCCCAGAGCAGCUGUGGCCUCCUUUGAUUAAACCACAGAAGUCCGGAGGAUCAGGCCUCAAACCUCCACCACCUGCCAGCUGGCACCUGUGAAGGAGGUGGGACCAGCACCCACCUCACAGUGGCUGCAGGGUCACCUGAGAUGGUGAUUGCAAAGUGCUGAGCCAUCGGGACACAUAUUUCCAAGACCUCCUGAGUGCCGGCUGGCCCCUGGAGCAGAGAUGAGACCCCUGUGGGGCCUACAGUCCAGUUAUGAAGGCAGGGUUCCUGUGUAAGCCAGCAGGCCCAGUUCUGGAAAGGCCAGGAUGUGGGUUCAGAAGCUCAAGGACAAUGGACUCAUUCUGACUGGAGGGAUCCAGGAAGGCUUCGUGGAGGAAGUGGCAUUUGACAUUGGCAUCAAGGAUGAACAGGAAUAGAGAGAGGGGACUGGUGUCUGCGUGAAGGAUCGCCAAAGCGCUGUUCUGGGGUGAGGGCGAUCAGCCCCUCCUGCCCCUCCUGAACUAUGAGGCUCGGGAGCCUUUGGCAGAAGGUGGCUCUGCACGCCCCAGGUGCAAGCUUGGAGCUUCCUUUUCUGCACUCCACAGCAGGAAGAAGGGCAGUGUGAACUGCUCACCACUGUCUUCCUGGGUUUGCAGCUCUGCGCCUGGCACAGAGACAGGCUCAGUGACGGUUGAAGGAAUCGGAGAAAUAAUGAAAAGUGUGUUCAUCCUGCAGGCAGCAGAGCCUCGGGUUAACCGUUAACGUCAGGAAAUGACAGAUCCAACGCUCCUGCUUGGGGCAGCGUGGAGGCCAGCGGAGGAACUGCAGGAGCCUAAAGGAGAUGGCGCGCGGGCCUGGCUCAGGAGAGCAGCCGUCUGAAAGAUGGCGGCGAAGGGUGCGGGAGGAGAUGCCCCGGGCAGGGGCUUGGCGGGGUCUGGCACCAAACUUCCCAAAGCAGCUGCCUCUGUGAACUGUGCCUGGCAGGGAGGGAGCCACACCGGGAGUGACCCUAGACGCUGGCUCCCCAGGGGUGACUGGAGGCAGUGUCUCCCGCCCAUGUGGGCCUCCGGCUUGGGGUCCCCAGAGCUCUGCCCUGCUGCUGGCUGCACUGAGAGAGGUGGCCUUCUGAAUGGGCCCUGUCCCCGGGGAGCCUCUGGUAAAGAGAUUCACCUGCACCCUCAAAACACGCCAUGCCCAUUGGAGGCUCUGGGUGCAGGCUGCCCCUCAAACAGAGAAAAACCACACGCUGUUUAAGACCCAAACCAAGGAGACAGCCCCUCAUGCCCCCUUCUAUCUCCCCUUCUGUCCAGGGCCCCCUGCCUGCUCUGGUCCACCCCGUCCUGACCCCCUCUGCCUGUUCAUCUGAGGGCCGUGAGCCAAGGCCUGGGCCUGGCCAAGGGUCAGGGAUCCUGGGACCUGCUUGAGACCAUGCCCCAUACACUCCUUCGGCCAGAAGGUCAGCCGUAGAGACAAACCCCCACCCUGAGCCCGCAGUGUCAGCAACGCCCUGUCCUCAGUGCCAGGCAGUGUCAGGCUGAGACCCGGGCCACCUGAUCCAACGUCCACUCCAAGCAAGCCAGAGCCAGGUGCUGCCAGCCUGCCCAUGUGCACACGUUAGCAGACAGGUUUCCUGGUGUGGCACACACGUGUUAUGACCGCGGCUGCUGCCCCCAGCCCAGAGUGCACUUCCGGGUAAUCCAGCACCCUGAGGCUUCACUGCUCUCCUGAGAGUUUUCUAAGAUUAAAUCUCCUUCACAAUGACAGCCUCCUGUCACCUGGGCCCUGGUGACAAAGCCUUUGGAGAGGCAAGGACCCAGCCGGGGCAUUCACAGUGGGCAUGCUAUCCACCCUCCGCCCCUGUCCUGGCCCCCACAGUGGAGCCGCCACCUUGGGUAACAGGGGCUGCCUGAGGUCCUGGAGAAGGAAGAACCAGGUGGCCCACCUUCGGUGCACAGGGAACAGCAGGGACCUGACGGCAGCCCCCGCACCCCUCCCUGGGCUGAAGUUCAGGCUGUCUCAUCCCUUGCCAGGAGCUCAGGGCUGAGCUAGGUUGGCAGGGGAUGGGUUGAGGGUCUGUUGUCCAGCAGAUUGCCCGGGCCCCACCCAGGCCACUCAGAAAACACCUGUGAGAGCCCCGCAGGCAUGCAGGGCACUGUCGUGAGCACACCAGUGGGGACAGACGUCCAGGCAGGAGGGAGCAGCCAGACCCCCAUCCCGCCAGGGUCACCAGGUGAGCAAGGCUGGGGAACAAUGGAGGCGGAGCCCCGCGACUGCCCAGCUCACUGCCCCCAGUGUCCAGGCUGUGGUGCAGGCGUGGGGACCCAGGUGUGUUCAGGGGUCUCCUUCAGGGAAGGAGACCAAGCUGGGAGUCUGGGGAGGCUGAGGUGUGAGGUGACAGCAGGUAAAGAGUGAGCCACAAUCAGCAUUUUCACAUGAAAGGAAACUACAGGCCUGGGCGCAGUGGCUCACGCCUGUAAUCCCGGCACUGUGGGAGGCUGAGGUGGGAGGAUCACCUGAGGUCGGGAGUUCGAGACCAGCCUGACCAACAUGGAGAAACCCCAUUUCUACUAAAAAAAAUACAAAAUUAGCUGGGCAUGGUGGCGCAUGCCUGUAAUCCUAGCUAUUCGGGAGGCUGAGACAGGAGAAUCACUUGAACCCGGGAGGCGGAGGUUAUGGAGAGCCAAGAUCGCACCACUGCACCCCAGCCUGGGCAACAAGAGUAAAACUCCGUCUCAAAAAAAAAAAAAAAAGAAGAAAGAAAAAGAAAAAAAGAAAGGCAACUACAGAAGGUGAGGAGAACCACCCGAGAUCACCAGAGGGAACCGUGGAAGGUCCGUGGUCCACCAGCCAGGCUGGGGCACCUCAGCCCCUGGGCAGAGCACCAAGCAGGGCCGUGCCCUGGUAAAGGAGGGCACAGUCAGCCCCAGACUACAAGCUGCCUUGGUCCUCCCAGCAGGGCUUAAAAGCAAGACCCCAAAGGACCAAACAGCUUCCAAGUAACUUCCUGGAGUCCUGAGCAAAGUAAGCUUUUCUCAGCUUUGCUACAAAAAUAGUCAGCACCCAGCAAAAUUCACAAUCCCUGUCACCCAUUCAAAAAUCACCAGGCAUGCGAGGAAGCAGGAAAAGGAAAAUGCACCCAGAAGAGAAGGAGCACCCAUCAACGGGGCCGCCUCAGAAGCAACAGACGACCGGGCAAGUCCAAGGGCACCGAGGCACCUGCCACCACUGCGCCCAGCACUCCCGAAGCCAGAGGGCAGAUUGAGGUUCAGAGAAGUCAGAAGCCUUCCCAAGGCUGCACAGCCAGAAGUGGGCACAGCGUCCUGGGGUGAGGGCUCACACCAUCUGCGCCACCUGCCCUCCAGGUCCCACCAUCCUCACAAAUUCAAGGCAAGGUUCUGGAACCCCCAGCCCUCCAGAAAGGGGAAGCUGAGCCCAGGAAGCACAUCUGAGAGUUCGGCCACCGGCACGGCCACCCCAGUGUGAUUCCUCAGCAGCCACACAGAAGACAGAUGGUCCAUAGGAGACUCAGAAACAGAGAAGCCUCACGCCAGGUCCACAGAGGCACCCACGCCCGCCAAAAGGAUGCCACGCACUCACCCUGCCCUCUGGGGAGCACAGUGGGAGUCCAGGACACCGCCUUGGAUGGGGUGAGGCUCCGUCUGUGACCUCAGAAAGUCAGUCUGGGGCUGGACUUGACAUGGGAAACAGAAUAAAACUGCCUGUCCACCUGA